GCGCUCGCAGCGGCAGCACAUAUGCUAAAAUUGGAGUGAUACUGAACAAGGAUGACACACAAAUUCAUGAAGGGUUCCCUAUUUUU
rnacentral:snRNA from 14 species